rnacentral:rRNA from 1 species
UACAGAGGGUGCGAGCGUUAAUCGGAAUUACUGGGCGUAAAGCGUGCGUAGACGGUAGCGUAAGUCAGAUGUGAAAGCCCCGGGCUCAACCUGGGAACUGCAUUUGAGACUGCUCUGCUCAGGUGCGGAAGAGGGAAGCGGAAUUUCCGGUGGAGCGGUGUAAUGCGUAGAUAUCGGAAGGAACGCCGGUGGCGAAAGCGGCGUGCUGGACACCUACUGACGCUGAGGCGCGAAAGCCAGGGGAGCGAACGGG